UCUCUGGUGGUCUAGCGGUUGGGACUCAGUGCUUUUACUACUGUGGCUUGGGUUCAAUCCCUGGCCUAGGAA
rnacentral:tRNA from 1 species